AAGGAGCAAGCGGGUACCAGCGUGAUUGAUAUUUUGGCUGCAGGCUUGCUAGCCAUCAGGCACAGUGUGCCAGACCAGGCGUCACCUGAGGCUGAGUGCUGCAGUGAGCCCAGGAGCUGCUUGCCGGGUGCCCAGCACACAGCCCGCCUGCAGCAUCUCUCCUUGAGAAGAGUGACCAAGAAAGGCCAUCACAGGGCAGUGCAGGAGGUUUCUGGCUGUGGGAUUCACGUGAUUGCGACCACAGCUGGUGAAGGAUGAACCAAGUCUAAGAAGGAGGCACUUCGUGAGUGGCUAUGUUCUUCUGAACUCACGGGGAAUCUGAAAUAACUUCUUGGCUGCCCUCCUUCAACCUGUUCGCUUGUGGCAGUUGGCAGAAAAAGAUCUGGAGGUAGUCAUCAACCAUAAACUGAGUAUAAGCCAACACAACCAUGCUUCUAUGAAGCAGGCAGAUGUUUAAUGAAGCUCUGUUGGCUCAAGUGCACCCUGCAAGAACAGUGACAUCAAGCUCUGCUCUUUUCAGAGCUGCAGAGGGCUCUGCAUGAACGCCUUGUCCAGACACUGGCACCACGUGCAGAAAACAUGGACCUUCUGGAGUGAGAUCAGGAAAGAGCAGCGACAGCGUUAUUGUUGCAAGAUAUGUGAUUUCAAUAGUUUGAGAAGUGGGAAAAUCCUUCCUCAAAUGGUAGAAUGAAAGUGAGUUUUUCUGUCACUGUAAGAGAACAACAACAACAACAAAAAUAAAUCAGAGGAUGGCCAUGAUUUUGUGUCUCAUCUCAUUAUGUAAGUAGAGAGAUAACCUCGACAGAGCCAUAGGCAAUGACAGAGCACCACUGCCUUCCACCACUAGCUGGACUUGCCUAGCUUUCCUAUGCACUCUUAUAAACAUGCUGUAUUGGAAGAGGAUUUUGUGUACCAGGCCUUUGGAACCUUUAAGCUCUUCUUCUCCCA
ensembl:lncRNA